rnacentral:rRNA from 1 species
AGUGAACGCUGGCGGUAGGCCUAACACAUGCAAGUCGAACGGCAGCACAGUAAGAGCUUGCUCUUACGGGUGGCGAGUGGCGGACGGGUGAGGAAUACAUCGGAAUCUACUUUUUCGUGGGGGAUAACGUAGGGAAACUUACGCUAAUACCGCAUACGACCUACGGGUGAAAGCAGGGGAUCUUCGGACCUUGCGCGACUGAAUGAGCCGACGUCGGAUUAGCUAGUUGGCGGGGUAAAGGCCCACCAAGGCGACGAUCCGUAGCUGGUCUGAGAGGAUGAUCGGCCACACUGGAACUGAGACACGGUCCAGACUCCUACGGGAGGCAGCAGUAGGGAAUAUUGGACAAUGGGCGCAAGCCUGAUCCAGCCAUACCGCGUGGGUGAAGAAGGCCUUCGGGUUGUAAAGCCCUUUUGUUGGGAAAGAAAAGCAGCAGGUGAAUACCCCGCUGUUCUGACGGUACCCAAAGAAUAAGCACCGGCUAACUUCGUG